rnacentral:rRNA from 1 species
AGAGUUUGAUCCUGGCUCAGGAUGAACGCUGGCGGCGUGCUUAACACAUGCAAGUCGAACGAUGAUCCCAGCUUGCUGGGGGAUUAGUGGCGAACGGGUGAGUAACACGUGAGUAACCUGCCCUUAACUCUGGGAUAAGCCUGGGAAACUGGGUCUAAUACCGGAUAUGACUCCUCAUCGCAUGGUGGGGGGUGGAAAGCUUUAUUGUGGUUUUGGAUGGACUCGCGGCCUAUCAGCUUGUUGGUGAGGUAAUGGCUCACCAAGGCGACGACGGGUAGCCGGCCUGAGAGGGUGACCGGCCACACUGGGACUGAGACACGGCCCAGACUCCUACGGGAGGCAGCAGUGGGGAAUAUUGCACAAUGGGCGAAAGCCUGAUGCAGCGACGCCGCGUGAGGGAUGACGGCCUUCGGGUUGUAAACCUCUUUCAGUAGGGAAGAAGCGAAAGUGACGGUACCUGCAGAAGAAGCGCCGGCUAACUACGUGCCAGCAGCCGCGGUAAUACGUAGGGCGCAAGCGUUAUCCGGAAUUAUUGGGCGUAAAGAGCUCGUAGGCGGUUUGUCGCGUCUGCCGUGAAAGUCCGGGGCUCAACUCCGGAUCUGCGGUGGGUACGGGCAGACUAGAGUGAUGUAGGGGAGACUGGAAUUCCUGGUGUAGCGGUGAAAUGCGCAGAUAUCAGGAGGAACACCGAUGGCGAAGGCAGGUCUCUGGGCAUUAACUGACGCUGAGGAGCGAAAGCAUGGGGAGCGAACAGGAUUAGAUACCCCGGUAGUCC